rnacentral:rRNA from 1 species
GUCUACGGCCAUACCACCCUGAACGCGCCCGAUCUCGUCUGAUCUCGGAAGCUAAGCAGGGUCGGGCCUGGUUAGUACUUGGAUGGGAGGAAAGGGCAGGAUAGCACGAUGUGGGGG